CUACGGGCUGCUGCAGUGGGGAAUAUUGCACAAUGGAGGAAACUCUGAUGCAGCAACGCCGCGUGGAGGAUGACACUUUUCGGAGCGUAAACUCCUUUUAUAUAGGAAGAAGAUGACGGUACUAUAUGAAUAAGCGCCGGCUAACUCCGUGCCAGCAGCCGCGGUAAUACGGAGGGCGCAAGCGUUACUCGGAAUCACUGGGCGUAAAGAGCGUGUAGGCGGAUUAAAAAGUCAGAAGUGAAAUCCUAUAGCUUAACUAUAGAACUGCUUCUGAAACUCUUAAUCUAGAAUAUGGGAGAGGUAGAUGGAAUUUCUGGUGUAGGGGUAAUAUCCGUAGAGAUCAGAAGGAAUACCGAUUGCGAAGGCGAUCUACUAGAACAUUAUUGACGCUGAGACGCGAAAGCGUGGGGAGCAAACAGGAUUAGAUACCCCGGUAGUC
rnacentral:rRNA from 1 species